AUUGAACGCUGGCGGCAGGCCUAACACAUGCAAGUCGAGCGGAUGAAGGGAGCUUGCUCCUGGAUUCAGCGGCGGACGGGUGAGUAAUGCCUAGGAAUCUGCCUGGUAGUGGGGGAUAACGUCCGGAAACGGGCGCUAAUACCGCAUACGUCCUGAGGGAGAAAGUGGGGGAUCUUCGGACCUCACGCUAUCAGAUGAGCCUAGGUCGGAUUAGCUAGUUGGUGGGGUAAAGGCCUACCAAGGCGACGAUCCGUAACUGGUCUGAGAGGAUGAUCAGUCACACUGGAGCUGAGACACGGUCCAGACUCCUACGGGAGGCAGCAGUGUGGAAUAUUGGACAGUGGUCGGAAGCCUGGUCCAGCCAUGCCGCGUGUGUUAAGAAGGUCUUCGGAUUGUAAAGCCCUUUUAGUUGGGAGGAAGGGCAGUAGGUUGAUACCUUGCUUUUUUGACGUUACCAACAGAAUAAGCACCGGCUAACUUCGUG
rnacentral:rRNA from 1 species